rnacentral:rRNA from 1 species
CCUACGGGAGGCAGCAGUAGGGAAUAUUGCUCAAUGGGGGAAACCCUGAAGCAGCAACGCCGCGUGGAGGAUGAAGGUUUUCGGAAUGUAAACCCCUUUUGUUAGAGAAGAAAAUGACGGUAUCUAACGAAUAAGCACCGGCUAACUACGUGCCAGCAGCCGCGGUAAUUCGGAGGGUGCAAGCGUUACUCGGAAUCACUGGGCGUAAAGAGCGCGUAGGCGGGAAAGCAAGUCAGAUGUGAAAACCUAUGGCUUAACCAUAGAACUGCAUUUGAAACUGGUAUUCUAGAGUGUGGGAGAGGUAGGUGGAAUUCUUGGUGUAGGGGUGAAAUGCGUAGAGAUCAAGAGGAAUACUCGUUGCGAAGGCGGCCUGCUGGAACAUAACUGACGCUGAGGCGCGAAAGCGUGGGGAGCAAACAGGAUUAGAUACCCCAGUAGUC